GAAGUAGGCGGGUCUUCAUUCCCCAGGGACACAGCCUACUUGGUAGAGGUGAGACAGGGAAAAGAGAAAACACAAGGGUGACAGCGACAGCCGUGACACAGGCAAAUGAAGAACAAAUUGUGAAAGCCAAAAAAGUGAUGUGGUGAAACAGGAAGUUUAGUCUUUAUCAAGAUGAAUGUCUCAAAAACAGCAAGCAAAUGUUUGUUACUGUCUGAGUUUGACAAAGAAAUCAGGACACUGACAGCUGUUAAUUUUGGCUUUAGUUUUUUUUAACUAAAUUAACAAUGUGGCAAACAUGUCUUUGUGCAAACGUAAUGUUCACACUGGUAACGUUAACUUUACAAUAACUUGCAAGCUGCUAAAAAUCAGGCGUUCACAAGUAUGGAGAUCUACAUCACCAGUUAUACAUAAAUGAUCAAUUUGUACUCAAUCCUUAAUGGAAAUGGUAAUCGUGGCAUGUACAAAUUACUUCUGAAUGAAAACUGUUCACAGGUAUAAAAAUCCACUCUGCAUCAGUUGACUCCAGGAUGCUUAGCACCAAUCGCCUCUAAACCAAACUCCACUCUCCAACCUUCAGUCCCAUCAGUCUCCAAAGGGAUGACAAAACAGACUUUAAGCUCCAGUUUAGGAAGCUCAAAACCUUCAUCAGCCUCUUCUGAAGCCACCAAGCAGACUCAGCAGCAACAGACACACCAGCUGCAGGUCCAGCCACAGGUGCGCUGCUGUAUGUGGGUCUGAGUGUGGUCGUCAUGAUCAUCAUAUUAUCAGCAGCUGUACUGAUAUUCUGCAGGAAGAGGCCCAGUAAACCCAAAGAACCUCCUGUGGAAUCUGAGUAUUCUACUGUCACAAAACCUGACGGAGUAAAUGAGGAGAUCAGAGAGGAGGACAGACGAGGUUUACACUUGUGGCAAAUACGCCAAACCAAAUGGAGUUGAGACCACAGAUGACUAUAGCUUUGUCACUGCGGCAAGUUCUAAGAAGACGAAGAAGUAUAGAAACAUAAUCUACAGUGCCUCAAAAGAAAAUAAAAGCUUUAAAUUGCUAUUAAAACUAGAACAAUUUUCAGGUGGAUUUUUCCAAUGGUACAGCUGCCUUGCUCAACAGCGCCCGCUGUGGUCAUGCAGAUAAUGUCGUCUACUCUGUGCCUCAGGUAGAAGCUAGCUCGGAUGGCAGCCAUGCUGAAGACGCUUCUCCUCCUCCUCUGUACUCUGCUGUUAUUUUACAUCAGCAAUAGCUCCAUGUAGGCCAACAGGUGAACACACAAUACAAUAAAAAUUCAAAUUAGAGCUACUUUUACUUUUUAUUUAGUUCAGCUUAUCCUAAAUAUUUUGGUUAAGUAAAUCAUUUGUAAAGAACAAGUUACUGUUAAAGGUCCAGUGUGUAAUAUUUCUGAGGAUCUAGUGACAGAAAUGCAAUAUUACAUCCAUAACUAUGUUUUCAGGCCUUACAUAAUGAAACGUUAUGUUUUUUUAUUACCUUAGAAUGAGCCAUUUUUUAUCUACAUAACCGCGGGUCCCCCCUGAAAUGGACAUUGCCAUGUUGCACUGCUGUGUUUCUACAGUCAGCCAAA